UACGGAGGAUCCGAGCGUUAUCCGGAUUUAUUGGGUUUAAAGGGAGCGUAGGCGGGUUGUUAAGUCAGUUGUGAAAGUUUGCGGCUCAACCGUAAAAUUGCAGUUGAAACUGGCAGUCUUGAGUACAGUAGAGGUGGGCGGAAUUCGUGGUGUAGCGGUGAAAUGCGUAGAUAUUAGGAGGAACACCAGCGGCGAAGGCGGCUUACUGGACCGUGACUGACGCUGAGGCACGAAAGCGUGGGGAGCAAACAGG
rnacentral:rRNA from 1 species